UACUACUCCUUUCUCUAAUGACAAUUCACCACCAUCCUCCUUAACUUUUCUACAAUCGAUUUCCAACUUUAUUCCUUCCGUUGUUGCCUCACCUUCACUGGUAGAUCCUCCAUCGUUAUCCUCACUGUCCACUCAACCCUUACCAAUAUCGCUUUCAUCUAUAUCUUCUGAUACAACCUCUUCACCACAAAAUCCAUGUCCAGCCACCGUCGUAUC
rnacentral:lncRNA from 1 species